rnacentral:rRNA from 1 species
GAUGAACGCUAGCGGCAGGCUUAAUACAUGCAAGUCGAACGGUAAGCUUGGUAGCAAUACUAAGUCAAGAGUGACGUACGGGUGCGUAACACGUAUGCAACCUACCUUGUACAGGAGGAUAGCUCGGGGAAACUCGAAUUAACCCUCCAUGAGAUAGUAGUGAGGCAUCUCACAGUUAUUAAAACUCAGGUGGUACAAGAUGGGCAUGCGUCUGAUUAGAGUUUGGCGGGGUAAUGGCCCACCAAGACGAUGAUCAGUAGGGGACCGUGA